CCAAUAGCGUAUAUUAAAGUUGUUGCAGUUAAAAAGCUCGUAGUUGAAUUUCGGGGUCAGUAGGUUGGUCAUGCCACUGGUAUGUACUGAUCUUACUGAUUCCUCCUUCCUGAUGAACCGUAAUGCCAUUAAUUUGGUGUUGCGGGGAGACUGGACUGUUACUUUGAAAAAAUUAGAGUGUUUAAAGCAGGCUAACGCUUGAAUACAUUAGCAUGGAAUAAUGAAAUAGGACGUUCGAUCCUAUUUUGUUGGUUUCUAGGAUUGACGUAAUGAUUAAUAGAGAUAGAUGGGGGCAUUAGUAUACAAUUGUCAGAGGUUAGAUUCUUGGAUUUAUUGAAGACUAACUACUGCGAAAGCAUUUGCCAAGGAUGUUUUCAUUAAUCAAGGACGAAAGUUAGGGGAUCGAAGACGAUCAGAUACCGUCGUAGUCUUAACCAUAAACUAUGCCGACUAGGGAUCGGAUGAUGUUAAUUUUUUAAUGACUCAUUCGGCGCCUUACG
rnacentral:rRNA from 1 species